rnacentral:lncRNA from 1 species
UUUAUUGUUUAUAUAUAAUAUAUAAUAAUAGGUUUUUCAAUACAUGUUUUUCUGAUACAAUAAUAUAUUUAUAUUAAGCAUAUUAAGCAUAUAUAAAUGAAAAUUAUAGGCUUAGCUUAAUAAUUAAGCUUUGCCUAUAAUAAAAUAAAUAGACCACAUCAAAAAUUAAAUAGAUAUGUAAAAAGCUUUAUAUAUAUAGUUUUAUAUGUACAAAAUUCGUAACACAU